CAAAAACAUGUCCUCUUGUUAUAAAUAUAUGAGGUCUAACCUGCCCCAUGAUGAUUUAAUUUAAUGGCCGCGGUAUAUUAACUGUGCUAAGGUAGCAUAAUCACUUGUCUUUUAAUUGAAGGCUAGAAUGAAUGGUUGGACGAGAUAUUUUCUUUCUUUAAUUUAGUUAAUGAACUUAAUUUUUUAGUCAAAAAGCUAAAAUGUUUUUGGGGGACGAGAAGACCCUAUAGAUCUUUAUAAAUAAAUGAAUCAUUUAUUUUGGUAAAUUAUAAUUUUAUUGAUAUUUUUAUUUAUUUGGUUGGGGUGAUUAUAAAAUUUAAAUAACUUUUAUUUUUAUUUAUCAUAAAUUAGUGUUUAUUUGAUCCAAUUUUAUUGAUUAUAAGAUUAAGUUACCUUAGGGAUAACAGCGUAAUUUCUUUGGAGAGUUCUUAUCGAUAAAGAAGUUUGCGACCUCGAUGUUGGAUUGAAAUAARUAUAAGCGUAAAGUUUUAUAACUAGGUCUGUUCGACCUUUAAUUUUUUACAUGAUCUGA
rnacentral:rRNA from 1 species